CUACGGGAGGCAGCAGUGGGGAAUAUUGGGCAAUGGGCGAAAGCCUGACCCAGCGACGCCGCGUGAGGGACGAAGGCCUUCGGGUUGUAAACCUCUUUCAGCAGGGAAGAAGCGAAAGUGACGGUACCUGCAGAAGAAGCACCGGCUAACUACGUGCCAGCAGCCGCGGUAAUACGUAGGGUGCAAGCGUUGUCCGGAAUUAUUGGGCGUAAAGAGCUCGUAGGUGGUUUGCCACGUCGGAUGUGAAAACCUGAGGCUUAACCUCAGGCCUGCAUUCGAUACGGGCAGACUAGAGUGUGGUAGGGGAGACUGGAAUUCCUGGUGUAGCGGUGAAAUGCGCAGAUAUCAGGAGGAACACCGGUGGCGAAGGCGGGUCUCUGGGCCAUAACUGACACUGAGGAGCGAAAGCGUGGGGAGCAAACAGGAUUAGAUACCCUGGUAGUCCACGCCGUAAACGGUGGGCACUAGAUGUGGGGACCUUCCACGGUCUCUGCGUCGCAGCUAACGCAUUAAGUGCCCCGCCUGGGGAGUACGGCCGCAAGGCUAAAACUCAAAUGAAUUGACGG
rnacentral:rRNA from 1 species